rnacentral:misc_RNA from 1 species
AAAGUCGUAACAAGGUAACCGUAGGUGAACCUGCGGUUGGAUCAUUAAUGAAAAAGUAGUCUUUGGACUCUUUUAUAAAGACUUGAAGCUUAGGCUUCAUAGUCAAAACCUUUGUGAACCUACUUACUAAUCUUUUUAGAUUAGUUUAGUAGUCUUUAACUUUUCAUUUUGGUUAUAAUCUUAAAGAUAAUUUAAUCUUUACAACUUUUGACAACGGAUCACUUGGCUCUC